rnacentral:rRNA from 5 species
CCCCGGUAAACGGCGGCCGUAACUAUAACGGUCCUAAGGUAGCGAAAUUCCUUGUCGGGUAAGUUCCGACCUGCACGAAUGGCGUAAUGAUGGCCAGGCUGUCUCCACCCGAGACUCAGUGAAAUUGAACUCGCUGUGAAGAUGCAGUGUACCCGCGGCAAGACGGAAAGACCCCGUGAACCUUUACUAUAGCUUGACACUGAACAUUGAGCCUUGAUGUGUAGGAUAGGUGGGAGGCUUUGAAGUGUGGACGCCAGUCUGCAUGGAGCCGACCUUGAAAUACCACCCUUUAAUGUUUGAUGUUCUAACGUGGACCCGUAAUCCGGGUUGCGGACAGUGUCUGGUGGGUAGUUUGACUGGGGCGGUCUCCUCCUAAAGAGUAACGGAGGAGCACGAAGGUUGGCUAAUCCUGGUCGGACAUCAGGAGGUUAGUGCAAUGGCAUAAGCCAGCUUGACUGCGAGCGUGACGGCGCGAGCAGGUGCGAAAGCAGGUCAUAGUGAUCCGGUGGUUCUGAAUGGAAGGGCCAUCGCUCAACGGAUAAAAGGUACUCCGGGGAUAACAGGCUGAUACCGCCCAAGAGUUCAUAUCGACGGCGGUGUUUGGCACCUCGAUGUCGGCUCAUCACAUCCUGGGGCUGAAGUAGGUCCCAAGGGUAUGGCUGUUCGCCAUUUAAAGUGGUACGCGAGCUGGGUUUAGAACGUCGUGAGACAGUUCGGUCCCUAUCUGCCGUGGGCGCUGGAGAACUGAGGGGGGCUGCUCCUAGUACGAGAGGACCGGAGUGGACGCAUCACUGGUGUUCGGGUUGUCAUGCCAAUGGCACUGCCCGGUAGCUAAAUGCGGAAGAGAUAAGUGCUGAAAGCAUCUAAGCACGAAACUUGCCCCGAGAUGAGUUCUCCCUGAGACUUAGAGUCUCCUGAAGGAACGUUGAAGACGACGACGUUGAUAGGCCGGGUGUGUAAGCGCAGCGAUGCGUUGAGCUAACCGGUACUAAUGAACCGUGAGGCUUAACCUUACAAC